rnacentral:rRNA from 1 species
UUUCCGGUUGAUCCUGCCGGACCUGACUGCUAUCGGAUUGAUACUAAGCCAUGCGAGUCUUUGUAGUAAUACAAGGCAGACGGCUCAGUAACACGUAGUCAACCUACCCUAUGGACAAGAAUAAUCUCGGGAAACUGGGCAUAAUUCUUGAUAGAUCAUAAUGCCUGGAAUGGUUUAUGGUUAAAAUGAUUCGUCGCCAUAGGAUGGGACUGCGGCCUAUCAGCUUGUUGGUGAGGUAAUGGCCCACCAAGGCGAUUACAGGUACGGGCUCUGAGAGGAGAAGCCCGGAGAUGGGUACUGAGACACGGACCCAGGCCCUAUGGGGCGCAGCAGGCGAGAAAACUUUGCAAUGUGCGAAAGCACGACAAGGUUAAUCCGAGUGAUUUCUGCUAAAGAAAUCUUUUGCCAGUCAUAAAACCACUGGUGAAUAAGGGGUGGGCAAGUUCUGGUGUCAGCCGCCGCGGUAAAACCAGCACCUCAAGUGGUCAGGAUGAUUAUUGGGCCUAAAGCAUCCGUAGCCGGCUUUGUAAGUUUUCGGUUAAAUCCAUGUGCUCAACGCAUGGGCUGCCGAAAAUACUGCAUGGCUAGGGAGUGGGAGAGGUAGACGGUACUCAGUAGGAAGGGGUAAAAUCCUUUGAUCUAUUGAUGACCACCUGUGGCGAAGGCGGUCUACCAGAACACGUUCGACGGUGAGGGAUGAAAGCUGGGGGAGCAAACCGGAUUAGAUACCCGGGUAGUCCCAGCUGUAAACGAUGCAGACUCGAUGAUGCAUUGGCAUAAUAGCCAGUGCAGUGUCGCAGGGAAGCCGUUAAGUCUGCCGCCUGGGAAGUACGUACGCAAGUAUGAAACUUAAAGGAAUUGGCGGGGGAGCACCACAAGGGGUGAAGCCUGCGGUUCAAUUGGAGUCAACGCCGGGA